GAAUGGUUCUGGCAUAAUAUUUUAUUUUUACAUUAAUAUCAAAAUGCAUGAGUCAUGUCAACAUAAAAUAUAUUAAUAAUUUUCUUAUAAUCAGAUAAUGAUCCUAUAAAUAACAUUCUAUUUAAUAUUGUAUCCAUAAAAGCAAUAACAUAAUAUCGCGUAUUUAUUUUCAGGUACUUCGAUUUUAAUCACUGAUAAAACUUUACCAUUUAAAUACCAUAAACGUUCGUGCAUAUAAUACAAAAGGAACAAACUAACCUCAACGCAAUGUUUACAGCGUUACAAGUUUGAUAUACAGAGAUUAAAAAAAUGGAAAAUCGUAUGAUCUAAUAAUAUAGAAAUAAUAAUUGAACAUAAAAGAUAAAUUAUGAGCAAAGGACAAAAACAUGUGGGCGGGUGUGUUCGAUGUGGUACGUCAUUCUCAAAUUCAAGAGACAUGUCUAAAUUAAAUGCAGUAUACGUCGUUGAUAUAAAAGAGAAUGUGCGUUUAUAGUGAUUGACAAAAAAUAUUUAUUAAUGUAGAAAAAUAAUCUCACCAUUCCCUGCUCCGUCGUUUCGGACAUCUCAAAGUACACGUACAAUGAUGGAUUAUUUUUCACACACACGUACGUGUGGAGGUGUUCUUUUAUCAAGGUCGUCUAACAAAGUUUCAUCGAACGUGAAAAGAAACAAAAGACGUAUUUUAAAG
rnacentral:lncRNA from 1 species